rnacentral:rRNA from 1 species
CAGCAGCCGCGGUAAUACGUAGGGUGCAAGCGUUAAUCGGAAUUACUGGGCGUAAAGCGUGCGCAGGCGGUUUUGUAAGACAGGCGUGAAAUCCCCGGGCUCAACCUGGGAAUGGCGCUUGUGACUGCAAAGCUAGAGUGCGGCAGAGGGGGAUGGAAUUCCGCGUGUAGCAGUGAAAUGCGUAGAUAUGCGGAGGAACACCGAUGGCGAAGGCAACCCCCUGGGCCUGCACUGACGCUCAUGCACGAAAGCGUGGGGAGCAAACAGGAUUAGAUACCCCAGUAGUCCCUGUCUCUUAUAC